CGUGAGGAACCUGCCCUGGAGAGGGGAAUAACACUCCGAAAGGAGUGCUAAUACCGCAUGAUGCAGUUGGGUCGCAUGGCUCUGACUGCCAAAGAUUUAUCGCUCUGAGAUGGCCUCGCGUCUGAUUAGCUAGUAGGCGGGGUAACGGCCCACCUAGGCGACGAUCAGUAGCCGGACUGAGAGGUUGACCGGCCACAUUGGGACUGAGACACGGCCCAG
rnacentral:rRNA from 1 species